AGAGUUUAAAGAGUUUAUCUUCACAGGGCAGAGAAUUCAGAAUCAUAUUUUUGACCCCUUAUCAUAUAAUGGACUGUAUCAAACAUCAUGUACAACUGACAAGAAAUCCUAGAAAGAGAAUAAACAAUUGGAGAUACAUACAAUAAGAAAGAUGAAAGGAAUGGUUACCAAAAGCAGGGAAUGCCAAAGAUUUUUUAUUUUAUAAUAAAUCACACCCACUAUAAGUAGAAAAAUAUUUCAAGUUACUAACAUA
rnacentral:misc_RNA from 1 species